rnacentral:sRNA from 1 species
AGUCUCCGCUCCGCGAAUCUCCUCCGGCCACUGCCGCCGCGGUCGCCUCUCACCCGCCCGGCCGCUCCAGCCCGAGGCGCCCCGACCCCGCGCGCCAGGUCCCCAGCCCCGGGGCCCGCCGCCCCCGCGCCACUCCGCGCCCGGCCAGCCGCCCGCAGCCAUGGGGCUCCUGCCCAAGCUCGGCGCGUCCCAGGGCAGCGACACCUCUACUAGCCGAGCCGGCCGCUGUGCCCGCUCGGUCUUCGGCAACAUUAAGGAUCUGGAAGAAUCGGUGAAUAGCCAUUCACUGGUUGGUGGAGAAAUGUCUGUAGACCCACUCUGGUGGUUGCAAGAAUUUGCCAUCAGCAGAGAAGGCAGGGCGCCAUUCUGCAUGACAGCUUCGAGAGGAAGGAGAGGAAAAGAUGUUUGUGCUCUGCCAAGGCCUCCUGCAGCUCUGCCAACUCCUGUACAGCGCCUACUUCAAGAGCAGCCUCACCACCAUUGAGAAGCGCUUUGGGCUCUCCAGUUCUUCAUCGGGUCUCAUUUCCAGCUUGAAUGAGAUCAGCAAUGCCAUCCUCAUCAUCUUUGUCAGCUACUUUGGCAGCCGGGUGCACCGUCCACGUCUGAUUGGCAUCGGAGGUCUCUUCCUGGCUGCAGGUGCCUUCAUCCUCACCCUCCCACACUUCCUCUCCGAGCCCUACCAGUACACCUUGGCCAGCACUGGGAACAACAGCCGCUUGCAGGCCGAGCUCUGCCAGAAGCAUUGGCAGGACCUGCCUCCCAGUAAGUGCCACAGCACCACCCAGAACCCCCAGAAGGAGACCAGCAGCAUGUGGGGCCUGAUGGUGGUUGCCCAGCUGCUGGCUGGCAUCGGGACAGUGCCUAUUCAGCCAUUUGGGAUCUCCUAUGUGGACGACUUCUCAGAGCCCAGCAACUCGCCCCUGUACAUCUCCAUCUUAUUUGCCAUCUCUGUAUUUGGACCGGCUUUCGGGUACCUGCUGGGCUCUGUCAUGCUGCAGAUCUUUGUGGACUACGGCAGGGUCAACACAGCUGCAGUUAACUUGGUCCCGGGUGACCCCCGAUGGAUUGGAGCCUGGUGGCUAGGCCUGCUCAUUUCUUCAGCCUUAUUGGUUCUCACCUCUUUCCCCUUUUUUUUCUUCCCUCGAGCAAUGCCCAUAGGAGCAAAGGUAAGUUUCCAAGAGCCCAUGACUCUACCUGUUGGAGUUGAAGAAAGGGAUGUGGGGGUAGAAAAUAAAUAGAGCUAAAAAGCUGCAGCAUGUUAAGCAAAUUCAGGGUGAAAUCUAAACAAAUUUCAUGAUGCAGGACUUCCCAGAGGCUUUGAGAGGUGAGGGUGUUGGUGAAUUUCCAAAAGGUGGUAUCUCCUAUGUGUUCCCGUACCAUGUUAGCAUGUCAAGGAUCAGGAGACCUCCAGGGAACAGUUUG